UACGUAGGGAGCAAGCGUUGUCCGGAAUCAUUGGGCGUAAAGCGCGCGUAGGUGGCUUCGUAAGUCCGUUGUGAAAGUCAAAGGCUCAACCUUUGAAAGCCGAUGGAUACUGCGGAGCUAGAGUACGGAAGAGGCGAGUGGAAUUCCUGGUGUAGCGGUGGAAUGGCGCAGAUAGUCAGGAGGAACACCAAUAGCGAAGGCAGCUCGCUGGGACGUUACUGACACUGGAGGCG
rnacentral:rRNA from 1 species